rnacentral:tRNA from 1 species
GCAGGUGUGAUGUAAUGGCAACAUAUUUGGCUUCCAACCAAAAUAUGCGGGUUCGAUUCCCGUCACCUGUUCCA